UAGAGAGCGAAGGAGGGAACCCAGGGAAAGAGUAGGACCCUGGGAGCCUGGCCCUGAGGGCAGGGUGGAGAAGAGAGCCUGUCAGAGUGGCAAAGUGUGUGCUGCACUGAAGGACUCCACAGGAUCCGGCCGGCCACCUCCUCAUCAGUCUGGUACUUCUCUGGCUGCUCUAUGCAUCUGUGCAGGGCUCUUUGUGCACCAGAACGUCUCCCGGGCUUCCAAUGUUACAAAGCUCCUGGACUUCUUCCUGUGGAUUUCCACGGCAGCCCUGCUCUGGCUGCCCAAAGCAGGAGAUGCUCCCUGCUGGGUUCAGCCACAGCGUUGCCGUGCAUCUUGGAUGCCCGUCACUCAAGCAACCUGUGAUCUGUGAAUGUACUUUGGAUCCAGCGUCAUUACCGAGUAGCUCAUUAACAGCAGAUCCCUUUUCCGAACCGUAAAUGGGGAAGCUGCUUGCCUGAUGGAUGGGGAUGGAAAAUGGGCAAAAGAUUUAGAGCUGCAAGUGACUCAGUGCUUUGGUAUAUUGUAUUCUCAAAUAUUUAUUUUUAUGUGCUUGUAAAUUUUUUCUAUAAGGAAAAAUAUUGUAAUUGGCCAAUACUUCACUGAAUCUAAAUAUUUGGCUCGUUGCUUCCGGCCACUGCUUUCA